rnacentral:lncRNA from 1 species
GCCUGAUACAUUAAACAUUCUGCAUUUUUACUGAAAUUAAAUAAAAAGCAAAAGACCUUCAGUAAAGCACCACAUUAUCCCUGACGUUUUUAAACGCACCUUUAUUUUUUAAGUACUGCUCCUUUAACAGCUCCGGCUCGCCUCCUCUCUCCACAGAUGAUUAAUCAAUAAAGUGUCAGAGAGGCAAAUUGGAGAAACUCAACAAGUCUGGGCUUGUCUGCAAGCUCACCUGUGGCGACGGAGAGGAAGAGUACACCAUCAUUAACUUGACAGAAGUGAAGCGGACUCAUUAAAAUGAGGGAACAGGCCGGGGUGAUGCCACUAUAAACCCAGCUAGGAAGGGCGAGGAGGCCGGCAAAGCAGAGAGGAUAUGUGGACAUACUGUGUGCAGCUACUGACGGGUCCGGCACAAUGAAUGGUGAGGAUUGCUGCGCUUUAUCCCGGAUAGCUGAUUGCUGUGAUGUGGGCCAGUUGCUGGAAAGUCUCAGUGGACUCAAAUUCAGGAGUGGCUUUAUUUUUCCUGGACAUCGAUAUCGAGUGACAUCUCUGAAAAUAAAAUGCAAAGCAAUGUGACAGGGACACAAACUGCAGAAAAGUAGGAAAGUUCAGCGCCUCAGAGCAGCAAGACAAGGAGGAAACCUGAGAGGAGGCGAGCCGACCAAACGCACAAACCUGACGCUGCAGAGAGGAGACCUGCCACGCUCCGGUGACAACCAGGAAGUAAUGUGACAGCGUUCGUUGAUCGAGGCAUGACGGUGUAACAUAAUAAUAAUAAUAGUAAUAAUGAUCAUUCUUUUUCUUUCUCAAAUUUAAAUUCUCAGUAAAUAUAAAAAAUUAAAACAACAAAAACUUUCUAAUUAAUAAAUACGUAUCAAAAAGUAAACUGAAACUGGUU